UGGGGGAUAUUGCACAAUGGGCGCAAGCCUGAUGCAGCGACGCCGCGUGGGGGAUGAAGGCCUUCGGGUUGUAAACUUCUUUUGCUCUGAACAAGGCGCACUUUGGGGUGUGUUGAGUGUAGGGGUUGAUUAGCGCCGGCUAACUACGUGCCAGCAGCCGCGGUAAUACGUAGGGCGCGAGCGUUGUCCGGAAUUAUUGGGCGUAAAGGGCUUGUAGGUGGCUGGUUGCGUCUGUCGUGAAAGCUCAUGGCUUAUCUGUGGGUUUGCGGUGGGUACGGGCUGGCUUGAGUGCAGUAGGGGAGGCUGGAAUUCCUGGUGUAGCGGUGGAAUACGCAGAUAUCAGGAGGAAUACCGGUGGCGAAGGCGGGUCUCUGGGCUGUUACUGACACUGAGGAGCGAAAGCAUGGGGAGCGAACAGG
rnacentral:rRNA from 1 species